UAAACACUAGAGCAGAGGCUGUGAUGACUCUGAUUGAUGACUUUAUUUUCAUUCUGAAGCACAGGAAGGUAAAUGACAUCUUAUAUAACAAGUUCCAAGUUUUUAAGAGAAAUUUGCAUCAGAUUGUACACAGGGUCAAUGUAUUAUAGUGAGAAAAGCCUGGACUUUUGGGGUGGAGGGAUUUAUUAAGCUGAGUUUGUUUUUUGGAAUCAAUUCUUUCGUUUAUAAUAUGAAAUUAAGAAUCGGAAAUGAUAUUUCAUAGGGACAUUGUAAGAUAUGUGAAGUUCUUGGUAUAUAUUAACCCUUUAACAAAUAUUAGCUUCCUUCUCUCCCACUGUGUGUGUUUCUCUUUUUAUAUGAAUCAUAGGUACUAAUGUAGCUUUCCUUUUCCUGUAGUGAGCUGAAAAGCAAUUCUCUUCCAUUUUAUUUUUCUGCUUUAGAGCUGUUGUUGGUAACUGGUGGAAAUAGCAGAUGAGGCUGUGUCUAUCCCAGGAUUAAUAUUACAAAG
rnacentral:lncRNA from 1 species